UUUCCAUCUUCUUCCCCCGAUCCCUAACGCCCUCCCCCUUCUCCUGAUUCUUUCCUCUUCCCUAAUCUUCGCCGCACUCCUUUUCCCCUCCUCGUGCCACCACCCGAAGUGCACAUCGGCGCUAGCAGAUCGCCGACCACGUUUCCAUUCUCUUCAUUUCAUCGCUGACACAAACAACUCGUGGAGCAUCCUAAUUCAUUCUUCAUUCACCCGACCACAGCCUCUUCCCCCUUGCUCUUCUCUCCGCAUCGCCAUCGACUGCCACUGCCCAACAUCGACUGCCGGCCACCCGAGUGUCGCUUGAUCUCCACUCUCCUGGUCGCAGACACCAUGUACUCAUCGAAAGCCAAGCAACUGAUCCCACGUCUUCAGAUGAGCCCUAGAUGUCGACCCCCAACCGACUGAGCAUGCUGGAUCUCUACUAUAAUUUGUUAAUCACGUCGGAUCUCUGCUCGACAUCGCACCUCCGAUCUUAUGGUUGAUCUACUCGGGUCGACCUCUUCCCCAUCCACUCCACAUCGCUACUUGAUUUCGCCAAAUCCCUACUUGGUGUCUCGGUAUGAUCGCAUCAGGUUCCGAUUAGCCGUUGUCGAUUCAUUGUACCAGCACCACAUGGUCGUCGUUCUCUUAUUUGCCUUGGCUUGACACCAUAGCAGCCACCGCCAGUCUCGUGGCCCUGAUUUUGUGUCACCACCAUAGCAGCCACCGCCAUUCCACCGUUGACACAGAUUGCUGCCAAGCUGCCAGAAGUGGGUUCUCCACAUGAAUUGAAUCUGUUGGUACAUAUAUGGGGUGCCUAGAUUUGGAGACUAUCGGAUAUUCUAGCUCUAGCCAUAUUUUUCUAGCAGCGAGUGCUCUAUCGGUGAGUUAGCAGCGAAGUACACGUAUAUAGGACAUUGAUUCAAGACGAGCGUCUCAAAGUGGGAUUUGUUCCAAUACGAACUACUGAUUAAGGUUAGCACAUAAAUAUGUCAUCUCACUUAGAGUAUCCUAUCUACCGGUUGCACGUCACAUCCGAGGACUAUUUCCGAUUUUAUCUCCACUUUACUUGUCUUAAGUUUUUAGUGGAUUUGGUGUUGUAUAAAUUCGACUUUAUUUUUGGAGUUUGCUAUGUGGAGUUUGUAUUUGUUUUAUUGUGUUUGUGUAAGCCUAGCCGGCUAGCAGUCUCCGUUUUUUUUAAUUUUGUAUCAACUUUCUUUCCUUUUUCGCUGUAUUUUUAGUAUAGUUGUAUGGGAUGUUUAAUAUAUAUAUAAUUACGUGGU